rnacentral:tRNA from 1 species
UGCCUCGUCGGCUAAUGGUAGGCCAUUCGGCUCUGAACCGAAUAAUUGUGGUUCGAAUCCAUGCGAGGCAA